rnacentral:rRNA from 1 species
AAACCAACAGGGAUUGCCUUAGUAGCGGCGAGUGAAGCGGCAAAAGCUCAAAUUUGAAAUCUGGCGCCUUCGGUGUCCGAGUUGUAAUUUGAAGAUUGUAACCUUGGGGUUGGCUCUUGUCUAUGUUUCUUGGAACAGGACGUCACAGAGGGUGAGAAUCCCGUGCGAUGAGAUGCCCAAUUCUAUGUAAGGUGCUUUCGAAGAGUCGAGUUGUUUGGGAAUGCAGCUCUAAGUGGGUGGUAAAUUCCAUCUAAAGCUAAAUAUUGGCGAGAGACCGAUAGCGAACAAGUACAGUGAUGGAAAGAUGAAAAGAACUUUGAAAAGAGAGUGAAAAAGUACGUGAAAUUGUUGAAAGGGAAGGGUUUGAGAUCAGACUCGAUAUUUUGUGAGCCUUGCCUUCGUGGCGGGGUGACCCGCAGCUUAUCGGGCCAGCAUCGGUUUGGGCGGUAGGAUAAUGGCGUAGGAAUGUGACUUUACUUCGGUGAAGUGUUAUAGCCUGCGUUGAUGCUG